AUGUGUCUUGGCUAAGGUGUCUUGGCUAAGGUGUCUUGGCUAAUGUGUCUCGGCUAAUGUGUCUUGGCUAAGGUGUCUUGGCUAAGGUGUCUUGGCUUAUGUGUCUUGGCUAAUGUGUCUUGGCUAAGGUGUCUUGGCUAAGGUGUCUUGGCUAAUGUGUCUUGGCUAAAGUGUCUUGGCUAUUGUGUCUUGGCUAAGGUGUCUUGGCUAAGGUGUCUUGGCUAAGGUGUCUUGGCUAAUGUGUCUUUGCUAAUGUGUCUUGGCUAAGGUGUCUUGGCUAAGGUGUCUUGGCUAAGGUGUCUUGGCUAAGGUGUCUUGGCUUAUGUGUCUUGGCUAAUGUGUUUUGGCUAAGGUGUCUUGGCUAAUGUGUCUUGGCUAAGGUGUCUUGGCUAAGGUGUCUUGGCUAAUGUGUCUCGGCUAAGGUGUCUUGGCUAAUGUGUCUCGGCUAAGGUGUCUUGGCUAAUGUGUCUUGGCUAAAGUGUCUUGGCUAAGGUGUCUUGGCUAAGGUGUCUUGGCUAAUGUGUCUCGGCUAAGGUGUCUUGGCUAAGGUGUCUUGGCUAAUGUGUCUUGGCUAAGGUGUCUUGGCUAAGGUGUCUUGGCUAAAGUGUCUUGGCUGAGGUGUCUUGGCUAAGGUGUCUUGGCUAAGGUGUCUUGGCUAAGGUGUCUUGGCUAUUGUGUCUCGGCUAAGGUGUCUUGGCUAAGGUGUCUUGGCUAAUGUGUCUCGGCUAAGGUGUCUUGGAUAAGUUGUCUUGGCUAAGGUGUCUUGGCUAAGGUGUCUUGGCUAAUGUGUCUCGGCUAAGGUGUCUUGGCUAAGGUGUCUUGGCUAAGGUGUCUUGGCUAAUGUGUCUUGGCUAAUGUGUCUCGGCUAAUGUGUCUUGGCUAAGGUGUCUUGGCUAAGGUGUCUUGGCUAAUGUGUCUUGGCUAAUGUGUCUUGGCUAAGGUGUCUUGGCUAAUGUGUCUCGGCUAAGGUGUCUUGGCUAAUGUGUCUUGGCUAAAGUGUCUUGGCUAAGGUGUCUUGGCUAAGGUGUCUUGGCUAUUGUGUCUCGGCUAAGGUGUCUUGGCUAAAGUGUCUUGGCUAAGGUGUCUUGGCUAAGGUGUCUUGGCUAAGGUGUCUUGGCUAAGGUGUCUUGGCUAAUGUGUCUUGGCUAAGGUGUCUUGGCUAAGGUGUCUUGGCUAAGGUGUCUUGGCUAAUGUGUCUUGGCUAAGGUGUCUCGGCUAAGGUGUCUCGGCUAAGGUGUCUUGGCUAAUGUGUCUCGGCUAAUGUGUCUUGGCUAAUGUGUCUUGGCUAAGGUGUCUUGGCUAAGGUGUCUUGGCUGAUGUGUCUCGGCUAAGGUGUCUUGGCUAAUGCGUCUUGGCUAAGGUGUCUUGGCUAAGGUGUCUUGGCUAAGGUGUCUUGGCUAAUGUGUCUUAGCUAAGGUGUCUUGGCUAAGGUGUCUUGGCUAAAGUGUCUUGACUAUGGUGUCUUGGCUAAGGUGUCUUGGCUAAUGUGUCUUGGCUAAGGUGUCUUGGCUAAGGUGUCUUGGCUAAUGUGUCUCGGCUAAGGUGUCUUGGCUAAAGUGUCUUGGCUAAUGUGUCUCGGCUAAGGUGUCUUGGCUAUUGUGUCUCGGCUAAGGUGUCUUGGCUAUUGUGUCUUGGCUAAGGUGUCUUGGCUAAGGUGUCUUGGCUAAGGUGUCUUGGCUAAGGUGUCUUGGCUAAUGUGUCUUGGCUAAGGUGUCUUGGCUAAGGUGUGUUGGCUAGUGUGCCUUGGCUAAAGUGUCUUGGCUAAGGUGUCUUGGCUAAGGUGUCUUGGCUAAGGUGUCUUGGCCAAGGUGUCUUGGCUAAUGUGUCUUGGCUAAUGUGUCUUGGCUUAUGUGUCUUGGCUAAGGUGUCUUGGCUAAGGUGUCUUGGCUAAUGUGUCUUGGCUAAUGUGUCUCGGCUAAUGUGUCUUGGCUAAGGUGUCUUGGCUAAUGUGUCUUGGCUAAGGUGUCUUGGCUAUUGUGUCUUGGCUAAGGUGUCUUGGCUAAGGUGUCUUGGCUAAGGUGUCUUGGCUAAUGUGUCUAGGCUAAUGUGUCUUGGCUAAUGUGUCUUGGCUAGUGUGUCUUGG